rnacentral:rRNA from 1 species
GAUGAACGCUGGCGGCGUGCCUAAUACAUGCAAGUCGAGCGAACGGACGAGAAGCUUGCUUCUCUGAUGUUAGCGGCGGACGGGUGAGUAACACGUGGGUAACCUACCUAUAAGACUGGGAUAACUUCGGGAAACCGUAGCUAAUACCGGAUAAUAUUUUGAACCGCAUGGUUCAAAAGUGAAAGACGGUCUUGCUGUCACUUAUAGAUGGAUCCGCGCUGCAUUAGCUAGUUGGUAAGGUAACGGCUUACCAAGGCAACGAUGCAUAGCCGACCUGAGAGGGUGAUCGGCCACACUGGAACUGAGACACGGUCCAGACUCCUACGGGAGGCAGCAGUAGGGAAUCUUCCGCAAUGGGCGAAAGCCUGACGGGGCAACGCCGCGUGAGUGAUGAAGGUCUUCGGAUCGUAAAACUCUGUUAUUAGGGAAGAACAUAUGUGUAAGUAACUGUGCACAUCUUGACGGUACCUAAUCAGAAAGCCACGGCUAACUACGUG